ACACAUGAUGAUCAUGAUAUGCUAUAUUACAUUAUCUAAUAAUAGAAGCAACAAACAACUUCUCUCCAUGAUCUUUAACAUUUUCAUUAACUUGGACUUGAUCUAGACGGGAUUGGUUUUUUUUGUACGCCUUAUCCACAGGACUAAAAUGUUUUCAUACUUGCAUUGAACUCCGGUCUUUACCAACAAAACUUCUCCGUAUGAUUGGUCUUCUUACAAUAGGGACAAGGUGGAUACUUUGAUCUUCUAUAUCUUCCACUAUUGUUAUAUUUCUCCUUCUUCUCAUUGCUAUGUCUUCUAUUUGAUUUUUCUUUUGAUUCACCAUCAGAAUGAUAUUUAGACCUUUGAGCAACCACAAGAGCAAUUUCACUUGAAUUGUCUUUCUCUCUAAAAGCUUUUAUUUGCUCCAUAGCUUGAAAAGCAUUGGAUAUUUCAUUCAAUGUGACAUAAUACAUACCCCAAGUAUCUUCUAUUUAAGAUAUUUUUGCAUUAAAUUUUUCUGGAAGUGCCAUCAUCACCUUCUCAACAAUUAUCUAUUCUUCUAAUUUUCACCCAAUAAUCGGAUUAACAGUUUUCAUGAUCCUAUCAAUAUAACCUUUCACCUUUUCAGUCUCUUUCGUCAUUGACAUCUCAAAUUUUUUUCUUAGAUUCAAUAUUUGCAUUUUCCUUGUCUGAUCACUCCCCUGAAAUUCAUGCUUCAACAUAUCCUAAGCUUCUUUGCUAGUUUCACAUGCCAUGAUCCUUAUAAAAAAUUAUUCUUAGAUGGUUACGUUAACGAAAGACAAGCCUUUUGCAACCUGUUCUUUCAAAUUUGCUAAAGUGUUGGGUUUGCUCUCAAAGUCCCUAGAGCACUACCUCUUUCAACAUACCUCCAUAAUCCAAGACCCUUCAAGUAUGUCUUCAUCUUUACUGCCGAAAUUUAGUAAUUCUCACCAUUAAAGAGAGGAUGCAAAAGAGGAGAGCUGAUGGAAUCCAUGUGAACAAAAA
rnacentral:lncRNA from 1 species